UACGUAGGUGGCAAGCGUUGUCCGGAAUUAUAGGGCGUAAAGCGCGCGCAGGCGGUCCUUUAAGUCUGAUGUGAAAGCCCACGGCUCAACCGUGGAAGGUCAUUGGAAACUGGAGGACUUGAGUACAGAAGAGGAAAGCGGAAUUCCACGUGUAGCGGUGAAAUGCGUAGAGAUGUGGAGGAACACCGAUGGCGAAGGCAGCCCCCUGGGCUGAGAUUGACGCUCAGGCACGAAAGCGUGGGGAGCAAACAGG
rnacentral:rRNA from 1 species